GUAAAGUGGCUGAGUAUUAGGCAAUAAAUUGUAAAUUUAUUUAUGAAUAAAAUUCCUUUUCC
rnacentral:tRNA from 1 species